AGCGAACGCUGGCGGCAGGCUUAACACAUGCAAGUCGAGCGGGCCCUUCGGGGUCAGCGGCAGACGGGUGAGUAACGCGUGGGAACGUGCCCUUCGGUUCGGAAUAACUCAGGGAAACUUGAGCUAAUACCGGAUACGCCCUUAUGGGGAAUGGUUUACUGCCGAAGGAUCGGCCCGCGUCUGAUUAGCUAGUUGGUGAGGUUAUGGCUCACCAAGGCGACGAUCAGUAGCUGGUCUGAGAGGAUGAUCAGCCACACUGGGACUGAGACACGGCCCAGACUCCUACGGGAGGCAGCAGUGGGGAAUAUUGGACAAUGGGGGCAACCCUGAGCCAGCCACGCCGCGUGAGUGAUGACGGCCUUAGGGUUGUAAAGCUCUUUUCUCCGGGACGAUAAUGACGGUACCGGAGGAAUAAGCCCCGGCUAACUUCGUG
rnacentral:rRNA from 1 species